GGCCACAUCCAUGGCAUAUGGAAGUUCCCAGGCUAGGGGUUGAAUGGGAGCUACAGCUGCUGGACUACACCACAACCACAGCAAUAGCAACACCAGAUCUGAGCCAUGCCUACAGCCUACACCACAGCUCAUGGCAAUGCUGGAUCCUUAACCCACUGAGCUAGGCCAGGGAUGGAACCCUCAACCUCAUGGUUCCUAGUCAGAUUUGUUAACAGCUGCACCACAAUGGGAACUCCACAAAUGCUGUAUUUUUAAUAGUACCCAAUAUUGCCUGCUAGUGUCUCCAGAAAGGUCUAUGUGGCACCAUGUAGACCAUAGGCUCCUGAUCCAGUUCUCAUCAGGUCAGGAAAUAUGAGAGCCAUGAAAGCCUUCCAUUUGCUGGUAGUAGAGUCUUUGACAGAUAGUAAUUACUACAUGGAUUAGGAACCUAUGGCCUGUAUGGUGCUGAGUUCUUCAAUUGGAGGUUAAACAAAUCAAAUCGGGAGAAUGGAGGCAAGGUGCAUAAAAGAGGCAGAUAAACUCAAAUGAGUUAUUGCCUCAGACUCUGAGUCUUUUCAUAUUUCCACUGAAUACACUGUGCUGUCUUUAAAUUUCUUAAUAAUAAUUGAAUGACAUCUGCAUUAUUGUUUAGACUUUCUUAGCAUUUUUAAUUUUCAUAUAAUAUAUCUAGAUCUUAGAGUGCUUUUGUAUUGACUAUCCACAUUCCAGGCUUGCCACGAAUUCUACAGAUCUAAGAGAUUCUCCUGAUCCCAAUGUCAUAGAAUGAAACUCAAAGGCUUUUAAGUAUGAGCCUUGGUUUAAGUCAAGGUACUGAUGACCUUUAUUAGCUAUGCUACUUAAUACACAUCUGAUUCUCAGCCCCUUCUUUUGUUAAAUGGGGCUAAUAUCUGCGAACAGAAACACAUUUAGUAGAACAUCUGUGAAACAGUAGAGUCUAAUAAAGACAAUUUUUGAUAUUGCUAUGUAAUUUGGUUAUUAUAUCUACUGCUCCGUGAAGCUAGGACAACAGAUUUUUAAAAUGUAGUAAUUAAGCUAACACACAUAAUUUUCACAAACUAAACAAAUUUACCCAGUGCCUAGGAUAAGAAACAGAACAAUUCUAUCACCACUGAAGAUUGCCCCAUCCAUGUUCUCUUCCAGUCAUAAAUCACAUCCUCCAAGAGGGUACUCCCUAUCAUGGUUUCUGAUAUAUUGACUAAUUUUGCCUGUUUUUGAAAUUUAUAUCUACUUUCUCAAUCCUCAAAUGUGUCGGUAUGUUACAUGACUAAUAGAACUUUAUACAUCUGGGUAAGUCAAGAACUUUGAGAUGGGGUUAAUGGCUUGAUUGACCACAUGAGUCUUUAAAAGCAGAAAAACUUUCCUAGUGACAAUGAGUGAGGGAGAGACAGAGCCAGAGAAAGAGAGAGAGAGAAAGAUGGGAGAAAGAGAAAUACAGAGAGAGAAAACAGGAUGAGAAAGACAGGAAGAAAAACAGAGAGAGAAAAGGAGAGACUGAUAGAGGGAGAGAAACAUAAAGAUACAAAGAGAGACAGGCAAAGAGUGAAAGACCAAAAGAGACGGAGAGAGAGAAUCCAACAUUCCUGGCAUUAAUAUAGAGGAAGAGGCCAGGACAUGAGGAAAGCAGAAAGGGUCUAGAAGUUGGGAAUGUCUUCAGAAAGUACCCAAACCUGGAGUGUGCAGAAAGGAACAUAAGACACCUUUAUUUUAGUCCAAAGAGACCUGAACAGGCUUUUGAUCUAAAGAACUGUGUUGGAAUAUCUGUGUUAUUUUAAGGCAUUAAGUAUGUGCUUAUUUGUUACAGUAGCAAUAGAAAACAAAGAACGGUAUAUACUUAAUGCUGGAAUUGCUGAGUCACAGGAUAAGCUUACACUUUAUUGGAAACUGUGAAACAGCUUCCAACGUGGUUUUAUCAAUUUAUACUCCCAAAGAGAGUGCAUGAGAAUUCUAAUUCCUCCAUAUCCUCAACUUUUGGAAGUUUCUUGUCACUUCCACUCUUUUAGUAAAACCACAUAUACUGUCAUUCUGUUUUUCAUUUCUCCAAAAAUAAAUGAGGUAGAAGAUUCUUCAUGUUUAUGGGGCAAGCGGGCAUCCCGUCUUGUGAUGUGACUGGCAAGUCUCUCACUUAUUUUUCAAUGUCUUUUCCUUAUUCAACCAUGUAGGAUUUUUUAAAAAUAUUCCACAUAUGGGUCACUUUUCAGAAACAGUAUCACCAGUAUCUUCACAUUUUCUGGUCUGUUCAUUUUGUCUUCCACUCUCUUACUGGUUGAUGAAGGCCAAAGAUUAAUAUGUUCUUAUCAUCUUUGUGUAAUGUUUAAGGAAAAUUUUCUUAUUCUAAGAUCACAAAGAUUUUCACCUGCAAUUUUUUCCUAAACCCCUUAAUUUUUGUCUUUUAUAUUUAGGUACACAAUCUGUCCUUAAGAUAAAAGUUUUAAAUCUCCUGUUACAAAUGAGAAAGGUCAAAUGAGGUAUAGAGAUUUAAACAGCAAAUAGGAAAUGAGAACAGAUUAAAUCUUGGUCUUCUAUUGUGCUUGUCUACAAACACUGCUUUAUCUACUGACUUCAUGAAAUCUUCAUGAUAUUCCAAAAUCAAAUUGAUCUUUCCCUUUCUUAGCCCCAUUUCUCAAUACCGCUCAUGAAGUACACUUUGUAACAACUGUAGAUACUGUGUGCAUUUGUGCUUGUUGCCUUCCCUGCUGAAUUGUUAGCUCCUGUGAUCAAUGGCUGCUUCAUUAUUCCUCUUUAUGGGUCUCACAGAGGUAGCCCAGCAUAAAACUGGUGGUGCUCAUUACAUGGUUGUUAAAAGAAAGGAAGAGUAAAUGUUAAUUUCUCAGGUUUACAUCUAUAUUUUGCAUGGCAACAAUAUAUAUGACUCAAGUCAUUUAAAAAACUUGUUACAAAUAAUAUUAUUUCGGCAUAAAAAAUGAUUUGAGAAAAAAAAACUUAAAGAGAGGCAUUUUUAGAUAACCAUGAGAAAAGGCAUGCUGAAAUUUUAUAGUUUUCUGUUCUCAGAGGGUUCAUUCUUAGUUACUUGUACUUAAAUUAAAAAGCAUAUCAAGUCAAUGGAGCCUGGUAUCCUGAACUACAUUUUUAUGUUGUCAGCAUCUUUAGUUCUCAAUUCCUUUACAGACUCAGGCUGCCUUCAGAGAGCCCUUUAUGUUGGCUGAAAGUGCCUUCCUAUAUACUCUUUCUCAUUGGUUCUUUGUCAAGCUCAAAGAACUUGAGCUUUCUGGUGUAUUUGCUGUUUUUCCUCUCUAAACUACUUAUCCUAUAACCCCAUAGUUUUCCAUCAUUUAAAAAAUAUAGGAGUUCCUAUUAUGGCUUAGCAGGUAAAGAACACAACACAAUGCCCAUGAAGAUGUGGGUUCGAUCCCUGAACUCGCUCAGUGGGUUAGGGUUCUGGCAUUGCAUGAGCUGAGGAAUAGGUCACAGAUUGGGCUUAUCAGGCAUUGCCAUAGCUGUGGUGUAGGCUCUGCAGCUGCAGAUCCUAUUCAACCCCUCACCUGGGAACUUCCAUAUGCCCAGGUGUGGCCAUAAAAAUUAAUUCAUAAAAAUAAAAAAAUGUACUUAUAACAGUGUUUUCUGAGUAUGUUGUUAAUUGUCCAUUGUCCGACUUUAUUUCCUUGUUAACGUCAAUGUGAGAGCUAUGCAACAUGAUCAGUUCAGUUUAUCACAUGGUCUUGAUUCUACUCUGCACUCACACAUUCGUGAUGUCUUAGGAUUUCUACCACAAUUGUUCCUCCACUUGGAUAGUGGAAAAAGUAAAUGAUUUGAAGUGAGGGAGGCCCUGGUUUAAAUUCUUUAUCAAUUACUACUUUGGACAAAGUUCCUUAAACUCUCUUAACCUCUGUUUAUUUUUUAAAUAUGAGAUUAUCAUGAGAACCAAAAAAUGUAAAUUAAUGCAACACACAACACAAUGUCUGCAAAGCACUACAUCCUCAAUAAAUGCUAAUUGCCUUUUCCUUCCUGGGGAAACAAAAUUGAAAGGGAAAUAAAGGAUCCUGAAGGACACGUCAGAGUGUAUAUAAGGCUAAUAGGGGAGCCAGUUAGAACUCUUGAGAAUACUCUGGUGAUGGUGAAGGACAAAGAUGGCAAAAUAAAAUCUUUAUAGACGAAGAAGCUACCAGUAAGGAGUAAAGAAACAGGGAUUGUUAGAGCAAUGGUACACUGGAGAAUGCUGCCCUGCUUAACAUGUGCUG
rnacentral:lncRNA from 1 species